rnacentral:rRNA from 1 species
AACGAACGCUGGCGGCAGGCCUAACACAUGCAAGUCGAACGAGAAGCCACCUUCGGGUGGUGGACAGUGGCAGACGGGUGAGUAACGCGUGGGAACGUGCCUUUCGGUUCGGGAUAACCCAGGGAAACUUGGGCUAAUACCGGAUACGCCCUCCGGGGGAAAGAUUCAUUGCCGAAAGAUCGGCCCGCGUCGGAUUAGCUAGUUGGUGGGGUAAAAGCCUACCAAGGCGACGAUCCGUAGCUGGUCUGAGAGGAGACCAGCCACACUGGGACUGAGACACGGCCCAGACUCCUACGGGGAGGCAGCAGUGGGGAAUAUUGGACAAUGGGCGCAAGCCUGAUCCAGCCAUGCCGCGUGGGUGAAGAAGGCCCUAGGG